rnacentral:rRNA from 1 species
GCUUAACACAUGCAAGUCGAGGGGCAGCAUUUCAGUUUGCUUGCAAACUGGAGAUGGCGACCGGCGCACGGGUGAGUAACACGUAUCCAACCUGCCGAUAACUCGGGGAUAGCCUUUCGAAAGAAAGAUUAAUACCCGAUGGCAUAAUUAGACCGCAUGGUCUUAUUAUUAAAGAAUUUCGGUUAUCGAUGGGGAUGCGUUCCAUUAGGCAGUUGGUGAGGUAACGGCUCACCAAACCUUCGAUGGAUAGGGGUUCUGAGAGGAAGGUCCCCCACAUUGGAACUGAGACACGGUCCAAACUCCUACGGGAGGCAGCAGUGAGGAAUAUUGGUCAAUGGGCGCAGGCCUGAACCAGCCAAGUAGCGUGAAGGAUGACUGCCCUAUGGGUUGUAAACUUCUUUUAUAUGGGAAUAAAGUUUUCCACGUGUGGAAUUUUGUAUGUACCAUAUGAAUAAGGAUCGGCUAACUCCGUGCCAGCAGCCGCGGUAAUACGGAGGAUCCGAGCGUUAUCCGGAUUUAUUGGGUUUAAAGGGAGCGUAGGUGGACAGUUAAGUCAGUUGUGAAAGUUUGCGGCUCAACCGUAAAAUUGCAGUUGAUACUGGCUGUCUUGAGUACAGUAGAGGUGGGCGGAAUUCGUGGUGUAGCGGUGAAAUGCUUAGAUAUCACGAAGAACUCCGAUUGCGAAGGCAGCUCACUGGACUGCAACUGACACUGAUGCUCGAAAGUGUGGGUAUCAAACAGGAUUAGAUACCCUGGUAGUCCACACAGUAAACGAUGAAUACUCGCUGUUUGCGAUAUACAGUAAGCGGCCAAGCGAAAGCAUUAAGUAUUCCACCUGGGGAGUACGCCGGCAACGGUGAAACUCAAAGGAAUUGACGGGGGCCCGCACAAGCGGAGGAACAUGUGGUUUAAUUCGAUGAUACGCGAGGAACCUUACCCGGGCUUAAAUUGCAUUUGAAUAAUCUGGAAACAGGUUGGCCGCAAGGCAAAUGUGAAGGUGCUGCAUGGUUGUCGUCAGCUCGUGCCGUGAGGUGUCGGCUUAAGUGCCAUAACGAGCGCAACCCUUAUCUUUAGUUACUAACAGGUCAUGCUGAGGACUCUAGAGAGACUGCCGUCGUAAGAUGUGAGGAAGGUGGGGAUGACGUCAAAUCAGCACGGCCCUUACGUCCGGGGCUACACACGUGUUACAAUGGGGGGGGUACAGAAGGCAGCUACCUGGUGACAGGAUGCUAAUCCCAAAAGCCUCUCUCAGUUCGGAUCGAAGUCUGCAACCCGACUUCGUGAAGCUGGAUUCGCUAGUAAUCGCGCAUCAGCCAUGGCGCGGUGAAUACGUUCCCGGGCCUUGUACACACCGCCCGUCAAGCCAUGAAAGCCGGGGGUACCUGAAGUACGUAACCGCAAGGAGCGUCCUAGGGUAAAACUGGUAAUUGGGGCU